AUCCCAUGAUGAGGACAAGCGGCCACAUACUCCCGCAGUCAUUCCCAUGCCUCCGGAAUGAACUUGUCCCUUGUCUGCUGGAAACUGGAAAUUCGUUCACGAAGGGC
rnacentral:snoRNA from 1 species